rnacentral:rRNA from 1 species
GACAGAGGUGCCGAGCGUUAGGCGGAAUCACUGGGCUUAAAGCGUGUGUAGGCGGAUGCCUAAGUACCUUGUGAAAUCCCACGGCUCAACCGUGGAACUGCUUGGUAUACUGGGUGUCUUGAGCUAUCUAGGGGCAACUGGAACAAACGGUGGAGCGGUGAAAUGCGUAGAUAUCGUUUGGAACGCUAAUGGUGAAAACAGGUUGCUGGGGAUAUGCUGACGCUGAGACACGAAGGCCAGGGGAGCAAACGGG